rnacentral:rRNA from 1 species
CCUACGGGAGGCAGCAGUGAGGAAUAUUGGUCAAUGGACGUAAGCCUGAACCAGCCAAGUCGCGUGAGGGAUGACGGCUCUAUGGAUCGUAAACUUCUUUUAUAAGGGGAUAAAGUGUGGGACGUGUCCUAUUUUGUAUGUACCUUAUGAAUAAGGAUCGGCUAACUCCGUGCCAGCAGCCGCGGUAAUACGGAGGAUCCGAGCGUUAUCCGGAUUUAUUGGGUUUAAAGGGUGCGUAGGCGGCCUUUUAAGUCAGCGGUGAAAGGUUGUGGCUCAACCAGGGAAUUGCCGCUGAAACUGGGGGGCUUGAGUAUGUUUGAGGCAGGCGGAAUGCGUGGUGUAGCGGUGAAAUGCUUAGAUAUCACGCAGAACCCCGAUUGCGAAGGCAGCCUGCCAAGCCAUGACUGACGCUGAGGCACGAAAGCGUGGGGAUCAAACAGGAUUAGAUACCCGGGUAGUC